rnacentral:misc_RNA from 1 species
GAUGAAGAACGUAGCGAAAUGCGAUAAGUAAUGUGAAUUGCAGAAUUCAGUGAAUCAUCGAAUCUUUGAACGCACAUUGCGCCCUCUGGUAUUCCGGGGGGCAUGCCUGUUCGAGCGUCAUUAUAACCACUCAAGCUCUCGCUUGGUAUUGGGGUUCGCGGUUCCGCGGCCCCUAAAAUCAGUGGCGGUGCCUGUCGGCUCUACGCGUAGUAAUACUCCUCGCGAUUGAGUCCGGUAGGUCUACUUGCCAGCAACCCCCAAUUUUUACAGGUUGACCUCGGAUCAGGUAGGGAUACCCGCUGAACUUAAGCAUAUAAAUAAGCGGAGGA